AGUGAAAUUCAAUUAAAAAGUCAAGUCAUAGAAGAGAGAAAAAUAUCAAUAUCUUCAUUCAAUACCUUGGCUUUCGUAGCAAAUUUCAGAGACUGUUUACUCCUGUCCCAAUCUAACCAAGUGGGUUUAAAAGAAAAGGACCGCGCUGGAAACAUGAGGGGGUUAAAAAGAUUAGCCUUUUUUGAAUUAAUAGUCGAAGUCGUAACCAGCUCGUAUGAAAGGAUUUCUCGACGUGAAAUAGUUAAUUUUAUUCAAGAACGCCAAAAAACAGAGCUCGGUCGAGAAACAGAAAAGAAAGAGAAAGAUGAAAAAAUAUUCUGUUGAACAAUA